AUACAGGGGGUGCGAGCGUUAAUCGGAAUUACUGGGCGUAAAGAGUACGUAGGCGGUUGCUUAAGUCAGAUGUGAAAGCCCCGGGCUCAACCUGGGAACUGCAUUUGAAACUGAGUGACUAGAGUUUAAGAGAGGGGAGUAGAAUUCCGGGUGUAGCGGUGUAAUGCGUAGAGAUCCGGAGGAAUACCAGUGGCGAAGGCGGCUCCCUGGCUUAAAACUGACGCUGAGGUACGAAAGCGUGGGUAGCAAACAGGAUUAGAAACCCCGGUAGUCC
rnacentral:rRNA from 1 species